rnacentral:tRNA from 4 species
GGGCGUUUAGCUCAGCGGUAGAGCGCUGCCCUUACAAGGCAGAUGUCACAGGUUCAAAUCCUGUAGCGCCCA